GCUUGCCUUGCCAAUAUAAGUACUAAAAUUGGAACAACACAGAGAAGAAUGUCCUGACUCUUGUGCAAGAAUAAUACACAAAUUUAUGAGUCAUUUGCUAAUUUU